AUUGAACGCUGGCGGCAGGCCUAACACAUGCAAGUCGAACGAGUGGCGGACGGGUGCGUAAUGCCUGGGAAACUGCCUGAUGGAGGGGGAUAACUACUGGAAACGGUAGCUAAUACCGCAUACCCUCGGAUGUGCCCAGAUGGGCUGAGCAAGCAGGGGGGGUAAAGGCACACCUAGGCGACGAUCCCUAGCUGGGCUGCGAGGAUGACCAGCCACACUGGAAAGUAGACACGUUCAAGACUCCUACGGGAGGCAGCAGUGGGGAAUAUUGCACAUGGGGCGCAAGCCGGAUGCAGCCAUGCCGCGGGUAUGAAGAGGGCCUUCGGGUUGUAAAGUACUUUCAGCGGGGAGGCGUUACCCGCAGAAGAAGCACCGGCUAACUCCGUGCCAGCAGCCGCGGUAAUAC
rnacentral:rRNA from 1 species